UACGUAGGGGGCUAGCGUUGUCCGGAUUUAUUGGGCGUAAAGAGCGUGUAGGCGGCCAGGUAGGUCCGUUGUGAAAACUCGAGGCUCAGCCUCGAGACGUCGGCGGAAACCCUCUGGCUAGAGUCCGGAAGAGGAGAGUGGAAUUCCUGGUGUAGCGGUGAAAUGCGUAGAUAUCGGGAGGAACACCAGUGGCGAAGGCGACUACCUGGCCUGUUCUUGACGCUGAGGCGCGAAAGCUAGGGGAGCAAACGGG
rnacentral:rRNA from 1 species